CCAGGCCUCCUGCCCAUCUCUCGAAGCAGCUCUCCGAGGCCCCUCCUGUAGGGAGGCACCCCUUCACCCCAAGUCACAGCUCAUCUGCCAGCUCCUUCUGGCCCCCCGACAUGCUGGCCUUGGUCAGAUGGGGCUCCAGAGAACCUUUCCACUGAGUCUGAAGGGGAAACAUCGCUGGACCUCAGUUUCCUCAUCUGGAGCACGAGGCCCCAGCACAGCAGCCCUUCUGCCACGCAGGUGGAUGUGUCUAGGGGAGAGAGACCCUGCCACCCCUGGGCUGUGGGCAGUGAUGAAGGGGCUGCCCGAAUAUGCAUCUCUCUUGAAUCCUUAGCAUCAGCAGUUGCUCCACAGGAGAGGAUAGAACCUGGCUAUGCUGCCUCAUUGCUGUCAGACGAUCAUGGCCCGGAUGGCCCUUCUCUUCUCCACCCGAGGGCCCCCUGUGGCCCUGGUGGUCCUACCCUCUGCAUAUCACACCCUGG
rnacentral:lncRNA from 1 species